rnacentral:snoRNA from 1 species
UGGACCGAUGAUGAUGAUGUAUUAUGAGUAAAAGAUUAUGACUAAUCCAAUUCUGUUCAACUAAGGUCUGUU